UCCUUGUGACGAUGUGUGCCACGCCUGC
rnacentral:sRNA from 1 species